rnacentral:lncRNA from 1 species
GCCAGGAGACAGGAAUGAGCAGAAAGACAGGGACAAAGUACAAACCUCACACGGCACCAGGCAGCUAUGUAUCUCCAAGCAGCCCAGGAUGAGAUUGAACAUCAAGUGACCCUGGAAGAACUACAAAAUUUAAACGCACUAUUUCAGGAGCAUGAAAAGAGAGGAACACGACUGCUGGAUAUGGAAACAUUCAAAAGCAUAAUGAAGCAGAGUAUGAGGUCCCAGAAUAAAAGUACUCGUUGACCCUCAGUACUUCUGUCAACUUGAAGCUGAAUGAAGAGAACGUGCUUGUUUGCAAUUUUCAAAUUUAUGUAAUGGUAACCCAUAGUUGGAGUAGUUUAACUAGGUAUUUCAGUAACUAAGGCAAGUUACAUGAAAGAAAUUCUUAAACCAAGAAUGGAGGGCCACAUCCACCACUUUACUGAAAAGCCAGGAAAGUACUGCAGGCAAUGAUACAUGGUGAUAAUGAAAUCAGUGAACACAUGUAAAGUGUUUAGAACUGGGGUUGUCACACAAUAAAUUCUCAGCAAGUAUUAUUAUGAUUCCUGUUAAUAUUAUCCAAUUUUGGUUAUGUAAUAACAAAGAGCUGAGAUACCUGUUUUUUUGAUUCUUGGCCAUCAUGUCUGUCAGUGUCCUUCCAUUGUUCUGGGAUGAAUUAAGUUCAAAAGUGACAAAUUGAGCAGUAAGUCAUCUGUAUUCAGGCCUUUGGCCAAUUCUACAGUGCCCUCACUGUCAUAUGAUUUGAAAAGGAAUAUUCAAGAUUCCAGGGCAGAGAAGGGAAGCUUCUAGUGAAAGAGGAUUUUGGAAGAGGUGGACAGAAAAUGAAGAUUUCCCAGGUCCAAAGAGACUCCACCCUUUCUAUUUUUGAUCACAAAGUUCCUUCCCAUUAGUAUACUGCUAAGAUUCAAAAAAAGGCAUAUGCCCUGCUGUGUGGGAACUUCAGAAUCAGAUCAAUGACAACACAAGUCUCUGGCUGGCCAUUGGCUAGUUGUUCCAUCUUAGGCAAGCCAUUUAACUUCUCUUCAAGCUUGAGUUUCCCAGUUCAUAAAAUGGGGUGAGCGAUGGACCUUAACCCCUUUAGGAAUGAUGAGAAUUGAAGUGAAGACCCACACUACAUGGAACAUGGUACACUCUAACAGUCAUUAUCAUCACCGCCAUUGUCAUCAUCAUCAUCAUCAUCAUCAUCAUCAUCAUCAUCAUCAACAACAACAACAACAACACCAUUAAAGAAAAAGGGAAAGCAGAAGAAGUAAGCUGGCAGCUGGGAAACAGACUUCAGGCCCAGCUGAGCAUGCUUACCACAGUUAUUACACGGUGGCUUCUGGACGUAUCUACAGCUAGAGUAUUUGAAGCAGGCCAAGGCUUUGGCCUGACAGAAAGAGGUGUCCUUCCUGCUGCCUGCUGUAGUGCCACAGAGGCUGUCACAUGGGGGUCUUGUGCUGCGCAUUCUCUCUGUGCCUGAUGACACCUUAAUCAUGAUCAGAGAAGAUGGAGCUAUUUAUUUCUGGUCCCUGCAGCUGAAGCUGAAAAGAAAAAAGUGGAUUUUUGUAUGUGAUUUUCAUUUGAUAAGGAUGCUGAGUGCUACAGUUUGAUUUUAUUUGCUAUUUUAAACUGCUCCUUAAGUGGCAUGAUUACAUAAAUUGUGCCCUUGAAUAUAAUAUAUUCAUGUUGCAUUUUGUUAGGCUACGGAAUGCAAAUAAAAUAGAGCACUACAUGUA